UACGCAGGGUGCAGGCGUUAAUCGGAAUUACUGGGCGUAAAGCGUGCGCAGGCGGUUCGUUGUGUCGGUGGUGAAAGCCCCGGGCUUAACCUGGGAAUGGCCAUGGAAACUGGCGAACUGGAGUGUGGCAGAGGGGGGUGGAAUUCCGCGUGUAGCAGUGAAAUGCGUAGAGAUGCGGAGGAACACCGAUGGCGAAGGCAGCCCCCUGGGCUAGCACUGACGCUCAGGCACGAAAGCGUGGGGAGCAAACAGG
rnacentral:rRNA from 1 species